UACAGAGGGGGCAAGCGUUAUUCGGAAUUAUUGGGCGUAAAGGGCGCGUAGGCGGCCUGGCAAGUGGAAGGUGAAAUCCCUCGGCUUAACCGAGGAACUGCCUCCCAAACUGCUUGGCUUGAGACCGGGAGAGGUGAGUGGAAUUCCCAGUGUAGCGGUGAAAUGCGUAGAUAUCGGAAGGAACAUCAGUGGCGAAAGCGGCUUCCUGGACCAGCACCGACGUUCAGGCACGAAAGCGUGGGGAGCAAACAGG
rnacentral:rRNA from 1 species